CAUCGUGGGGAGGUUGAUUAGCUUACAGGUUCCAUUCUCUCUGUUUACAAAGAAAAUAAGGGUUUGUAUGGAAGUGAUGCAAAUGGAUAAUUUAGAGUCAUGGACCAUGCAGGAAAGAGAGGUUGGUGAUGUAGACAAGCCUGGAGUGAAUGGAGGUUGAAAAAUCAUUCCUAAAGAAGUACAGAACUGUCUUCAGAAGUUCUUUCCUGUAGCAAAUUUACAAUCCUGGCUCCAAUGAAACUCUUGUCAAAGAAUUGCAUCAAGUUGGUGCCCAGGGCAAAUGUUUACCAUUGUAAUAAUUCUACAAGAGCAAGUUUUUGGGACCUGACAGCACAUUUCCUGAAAAAUUGCUGACGGACAUCUGCUCCGUACAAGACUACAUUUUGAUUGUAUCUGAUUUGGCUAUUAUAAAUGAAACUGCUAUAAAUUUUGUGGACAAGU